rnacentral:lncRNA from 1 species
ACAAAAACUGUAGCAGAGAAAGACACAGACGUCCGAACUCAACACAAAUUGAAAACAACAGAUCGCUAACUCUAUUUUUUUUCUUUUCAGAAUAUGGACGAACUUGCAGCAGAAACUAUGGUGGACAAAAAAAGUUUGAUCUAGUAGACACCUUUUCUCCAAACUAAUCUAAACCAGCACUAUUUUUUAGGAUGAAUGCGACCAAAAAUUCAACUACACAAAUACUAGAUGCAAAAAUUGCUUAAGGCUAAAAAAGAUAGGUGUAAAGGAUGAACUAAUAUAAUUUUUUGGCUUUUUUUGGGUUAUAGGACAGAAAAAUAAACUAAUCUAAGAAUACGGUAAAUCUUUCAUCAAUGAACCUGAAAACUGAUACCACUUGAUGUGACGGCGGCCCGAUCUUUGGAUGAAAGUGGGGAUAAUUAUCGAUUUGGUGGAUUUUGACCUUGACGAUCCAACUAUACCGUACCCGACGAUACACCUCGAAAUCGCUAAACUAAUCUCUGAUGUCUGAUGGUUAUUGACCUUACGGUAGGCACGAUCAACCUGAACAACGAGGUUCGAGUUCCUGCAAGCAACCGAAGAACCGACAAAAACAAAAGUGAAUUGCAAUCUGAAAUUGCGGAUAAAAAACUGAGCACACGAACUAGAAGAAAAGUUGGUCGUAUCUAUAUAAGCCAUGUCCACGUCACUAUAUUUAUAGCAGCGAAUAGUACAUGGUAGAGAUAUAAGAGUUGGCAGCGAUUACAAAAUAAAUUCUAAAAGAAAUGAGCAAAUCUUUGAGAUCUUCAAACUCUUACUUUUUUCACGACACAAUCUUGUAUUUUUCCAAAGGUUGCCGAGGAAAAUAACAGAGAUAUCAAAGCACAGACCUGCAAAUACUAAUGAGGGUUCUCCCAUAAUUUUAAUUUGAGCCGCAAUCCAAAGGUUGUGAUGCCCGCACACAUCCAUUAAAGUAAUCAACCAACAUCGGUAAGAGUACUAACACCGGUAUUUUAGGGAAAAAGAACCAAACAACCAGGCUAACAUCGAUGGGAGCCGAGAGCACGAAUCACCAUUGCCAAUGAUGUAGCAGUCGAGAUAGAUAUUGCAAGGACAAUCCUCCUCGCGGCGACCAUAAGAAAUAAUUCAAAAUCGAUCUGGCGAAGCAAGAUCUGAAGGACCAAACCUAAACAAAUUUAAUCUUCCGACACCACCAUUGACGUCGGGAAGGAGAUCUCGUCAUCGAAUGAAGGGC